UUUGCUAGACAAAGUUGUGGAGCCUCAACAUGAUCCCAAAACACGUGGACUUGACUUGGAGAAUUCUACACAAUGGGUUGCCUGUCAGAAGAUAUCUUAUCAUAAUAGGUGUCAUAAUUGAUUCUUUAUGCCCCGUUGUAAUGAAAAGAAUGAGGGCAUCACCCAUGUCUUUUAUAGAUGCCCUUGGACAAAAUAAGUUUAGUUUCAUUCCCUUUUGGAAAUCAUGUUUGAUUAGUUAUCUUCUAACUUCUCUACUUGGCUAAAAAAUUUAUUUUCACAUCUCCUACAGAUGUUAUUGAUUUGAUUAUUUCUAUUUGCUAUAACAUAUUGUAUUCCAUAAAUAAAUUUUGUUUUGAAGGUAAAGUGUUGGAAAUGGGAGAAAUUGUUCGUAAAGCUUGGAGAAUCAUAGAAGUUCAUAAUGUGUUGGUUGACAUGUUUCACAUAGACGAUGGCCACCCACAGGUUGCCUAUCUAGACAGAUGGAGUUCGUAUCUGCACAAUCUUUACAAAAUCAAUGUCAAUGUUGUGGGUCUAAGGAAAUCGUGUGGGGAAUUGAUAUUGUUAUAAGGUUGGUGAAUGUGAUGUCUUAACUACUGUAACUUGGAAGAAUAAUACUCUCCUUGACUCAAAUGUGGCUGAAAAUAUGGGCUUUAGACUAGCUUUACAUUUCACAUCAAAUUUGGGCUUUCGAUGCAUAAUUAUUGAUGGAGGCUCUCUUAAGAUUGUCAGAGUUAUUAAUGCACCUUAUGCAAACAACUCUUAUUUAGGCACCAUUAUUGUCGAUUGAAAACAUUCUCUCUCUCUUUUUUUUCUUUAUAUAUUGUUGCUCAUAUAAAGAGAACUUCAAUGUCCCUGCACACGUUAAAUACGUAUAUUUUAUCUUCGAUUGACAUUAUGUGAAUUGUGAAUUCUACUUUUUAUAUUAACUCUUAUAUUGCACCUCAUUUAACUAAUUAUUGAAAUACACUUUUAUUUAUUUGUUGUCAA
rnacentral:lncRNA from 1 species